GCCCCAGUAGCUCAGGGGAUAGAGCAGAAGCCUUCUAAUCUUCGGGUCGGGGGUUCGAAUCCCUCCUGGGGCAC
rnacentral:tRNA from 1 species